AAGUCUUAUAACUUUUUAUUUUUGUCCUCACUGGCCUCCAAGUUCUCUAGGAUGAUGCAAUGUCCAGCCAUCAACACAUGUGUGAAGGAAUUUUUACUCCCCAAAAGAGCGCCCCCACAUGGCAGUAGAAAAAAGUCCAUUUUUUCUUGUCCCCUAAGGUGAAAAUACACAUUGUUGAGUGUCACGCCUAUACGCUUUGUCAUAUUGACCCAAAAUUUGACAAUCACGUGUAUCUCAAUAAGAUCUACGAAAAAGUCAAUGGGCACGUAUCUGUAAAAUGUACGGUUAAAGGGUUAUUUCGCAUUUUUUCCCGAUCCGCACACAUUGGAAUUUUGCUAACUCCUCCGAAGGCUUUAGUUCCACCGCCACCAAAUUUGCUCAGGCCAAUCUACACCCCAUGGCCAUUAAAAGUUGUACAAAUCAUGACGCUGCACCCCACAGUUUAUGUUCUAGGGGGCGCCAAAGAUAACCCAAAAAUCCACAGUCUUAAAAGUCUUAUAACUUUUUAUUUUUGUCCUCACUGGCCUCCAAGUUCUCUAGGAUGAUGCAAUGUCCAGCCAUCAACACAUGUGUGAAGGAAUUUUUACUCCCCAAAAGAGCGCCCCCACAUGGCAGUAGAAAAAAGUCCAUUUUUUCUUGUCCCCUAAGGUGAAAAUACACAUUGUUGAGUGUCACGCCUAUACGCUUUGUCAUAUUGACCCAAAAUUUAACAAUCACGUGUAUCUCAAUAAGAUCUACGAAAAAGUCAAUGGGCACGUAUCUGUAAAAUGUACGGUUAAAGGGUUAUUUCGCAUUUUUUCCCGAUCCGCACACAUUGGAAUUUCGCUAACUCCUCCGAAGGCUUUAGUUCCACCGCCACCAAAUUUGCUCAGGCCAAUCUACACCCCAUGGCCAUUAAAAGUUGUACAAAUCAUGACGCUGCACUCCACGGUUUAGGUUCUAGGGGGCGCCAAAGAUAACCCAAAAAUCCACAUUCUUAAUAGUCUUAUAACUUUUUAUUUUUCUCCUCACUGGCCUCCAAGUUUUCUAGGAUGAUGCAAUGUACAGCCAUCAACACAUUUGUAAAGGAAUUUUUACUCCCGAAAAGAACGCCCCCCCAUGGCAGGAGAAAAAAGUCCAUUUUUUCUUGUCCCCUAAGGUGAAAAAACACAUUGUUGACUGUCACGCCUAUACGCUUUGUCAAAAUGACACAAAAUUUGACACACACGUGUAUCUCAAUAAGAUCUACGAAAAAGUCAAUGGGCACGUAUCUGUAAAAUGUACAGGUUAAAGGGCUAUUUCGCAUUUUUUGCAGAUUCGCACACAUUGGAAUGUGGCUAACUCCUCCUAAGGCUUUCUUCCCACCGACACCAAAUUUGCUCAAGCCGAUCUACAUCCC